UGGUUCCGGCAUNGAUGAAGAACGCAGCGAAUUGCGAUAAGUAAUGCGAAUUGCAGAAUUCAGCGAGCCAUCGAAUCUUUGAACGCACAUUGCGCCCGCCGGUAUUCCGGCGGGCAUGCCUGUCCGAGCGUCAUUUCACCGCCCGAGCCCGGCUCGCUGUUGGGACCCUACCGCCAGGUAGUUCCCUAAGAUUAGCGGCAGCCCCCCCCGCGGCCCCGAGCGUAGUAGUUAUCUCCUCGCCCUGGGAUGCCCGGAGGUGCCUGGCCGGAAGCCCUAUACCUUCAGUAGUUGACCUCGGAUCAGGUAGGAAUUACCCGCUGA
rnacentral:misc_RNA from 1 species